ACAAGGGAUACAAAAGGCUCCAGUCUGCUGCUACCAGUUCAGGCAGAAAUGUUGCCUGGCUAAACUGCAGCAGGAACCUCAGAAGCUUACAGGUGUAACCCUUAAAUGAGAAAUGUUCCCUCGCAUGUGGUGAGAAUGCUUGAAUGCUCCACGAAUCACAGAGAAAACUAAGCUGUGCAGCACAUUUGGUGUAAAAGCAGAGAAAUGGUUUGAGAACAGCCUAAAAAAGGGAUGGGAGGGGGAAGGCGGCAGACAAUUGCGGGAAGAGAAAGGAGAAAGGAAAAUAGAGAAGUUCACCAAGGAAUAUCUUCCUUUUCAGCUUUGCCAUCCCGCUUCCAUCAUCUCCCACAACACUGGGUUGCAAAAGCAUAGAAAAGUUCCAAAUCUGUUCUAACCAGAUAGGCCAUUACUAUGGAUAUUUAUUUGAAAUUACUUCCCAAAAUGAAAUGUUCAUUUAUGAAAAACAUUUUCAUUAUUCAUUUAUUUUAGAAACCCAAAUACAUUAACACUUUUUUUUAAAUUGGGGUUAAUGACUAUGACUCUAGCUCUUAAUUCAGAAACUGAUCUUACUGUAAUCAAAUAAAUGGAAACAGAUUGAUUACAUUGCUGUGAAAGUCAUUAAAAUGUGCUAUCAAUCUGUUUCUGCACACACAUGUUGCAAAGUGCUGAUAAUCCCUGGAAAUAUUCUAAAAGUAAGGGACUUAUUCAGCUCCCACUGAGGUCAGUGGCAAAACUCCCAUGAUCUUCAUUUUUUUUAACAUUCUGUGAUGUUCUAAUAUGGAGUAGGCAACUUGGUCAGGUUCUUUAGCUACAAUUUUGGAAGUUGCAAUCACAUAUUUUAAGUUUCAUCUGGUACCUGGAAAUUAGAAGUAAAAUGACAAACAGUAAUAAGAAAAUGGCAAAAAACAACAUUUUUGACUGGUCUAUACUAGGAGUUAGAGAGUACAAUCUAUUUACAUAUAAAUGUGGCACUGUAGAUAAAACAAUCUGAACAAACACAGAUAGAAUGCCCUGACACCUUUAUUGCUCUGUGUUUGUUAUAUGUAUUUAGUAUGUAGUAUUAAUCUGUUCCUAAAUUUCUGAUGCUGUAAACACACUGAUUUUACUAAAGAGCUAAAAUUGCUUAGUUGGCAACUAUCAAAUGGAGCUCUGCAUGGUGUUUUUAUUAUGUACACAAAUCCCUGUUCAGUUAAAAACAAAAUGGGGAAAUUUGGACAUAGACCUUCAGGACUUACCCAACUUGAUUAUUGUGAAAACUAGUUAUUGUACAACUUUAACCCCUCCAUUUUCAAUAUUUCAGUAUUCAAUCAGCUGUAUUUCACACAGCCGAUUUUACAAACAAAAAAACCCCCAAACCCUUGAUAUCCAUCCUAUUCAAACUUUUUCUAUGAAUGACCACUGUUGCCUGAGUACUUAUUUCAUGAAAAAGGAUUAGCAGAUAAGGUGGGCUUGCAUACGGAUGUCUACAGAUUAUGUUCAUCUUUGCCUUUUAUAGUUUGACAUGUUCUAGUUUGUCAUGUUAUCCCUUAAACAGAUGAUGAUUUAGGAUUCCCCUUUUGAUUUUAGGGAUAGGGGAGAAGAAGAACAUUUUUGUGUUUUUAUUUGACAUUCCAGAAGGGGGAUAACACACGCACUCACUACCCAGGCCUUAUCAGAAAUAUAACUGCAAAAAAGUCAGAUGGAUUUUUAUGAAGAAACAAAAGCUAUAAAUGACUUAAUACGGUAAUAUCAAUCUUGUUAUAUAUUCAGAUUUUAGAGUGUAGACGGCUAUGGCAUGUACGCUAUUUUUAGAACACUGACAUUUUCAAUCAUUUCAAUGCAGACUUUAAAGUAAUACAAUUUAAGCUACCAAUUUUAGAGCUUUCAGUUUGAGUCACAACAAAAUUUAUUUUCUGUCCCUUUGAUAGGGCAAUACACAUUUCCAUACAGAUAAUGCAAAUGGAUGCUUUUGUCACUUGUAAAUAUUUUACAAAUGCUAUUGUCAUUUUAAAAAUAUUUUAUGAUGUAUCAAAAAGUUUUGUAAAACAUUAAGAACAUAUUUACAUAAUGCAAGGUUAAUAUAAUAAAUAAAAAUGAUUAUUUAUACUGUACACAUAAAGAAAAAUUGAAUAAUUAGUGAAUGUAUAGCUAUUACAUACUUUUUAUAAACAUAUGAUAACAUAUAUAUUUAGGCUUAUAAACAUAAAGGUUGGGAACUACUGAGUUCUUUUGGCUAAAACCCAAUAUUGGCCUUAGUUCAGUUUAAUUGGAAGAGGAUCUUGAAUUCAUCUUCUCCAUGAGAUAUCAGGAACCUGGAUUUCUGUUUGUACCAAAGGUUAAUAAGAAAUGUGUCUGCAAAAGUCAAACAGCAUUAAAUACCAAAAACUGAUUAU